GUGAGGAAUCUUCCACAAUGGGGGCAACCCUGAUGGAGCAACGCCGCGUGCAGGAUGAAGGCCUUCGGGUUGUAAACUGCUUUUAUAAGUGAAGAAUAUGACGGUAACUUAUGAAUAAGGAUCGGCUAACUACGUGCCAGCAGCCGCGGUCAUACGUAGGAUCCGAGCGUUAUCCGGAGUGACUGGGCGUAAAGAGUUGCGUAGGCGGUUAGUAAAGCGAAUAGUGAAAUCUGGUGGCUCAACCAUUCAGGCUAUUAUUCGAACUCACUAACUCGAGAGUGGUAGAGGUAACUGGAAUUUCUUGUGUAGGAGUGAAAUCCGUAGAUAUAAGAAGGAACACCAAUGGCGUAGGCAGGUUACUGGACCAUUUCUGACGCUAAGGCACGAAAGCGUGGGGAGCGAACCGGAUUAGAUACCCUUGUAGUCC
rnacentral:rRNA from 1 species